rnacentral:rRNA from 1 species
UGCAGCAACGCCGCGUGAGGGAUGACGGCCUAUCGGGUUGUAAACCUCUUUUAGCAGGGAAGAAGCGAAAGUGACGGUACCUGCAGAAAAAGCGCCGGCUAACUACGUGCCAGCAGCCGCGGUAAUACGUAGGGCGCAAGCGUUAUCCGGAAUUAUUGGGCGUAAAGAGCUCGUAGGCGGUUUGUCGCGUCUGCUGUGAAAUCCCGAGGCUCAACUUCGGGUCUGCAGUGGGUACGGGCAGACUAGAGUGCGGUAGGGGAGAUUGGAAUUCCUGGUGUAGCGGUGGAAUGCGCAGAUAUCAGGAGGAACACCGAUGGCGAAGGCAGAUCUCUGGGCCGUAACUGACGCUGAGGAGCGAAAGGGUGGGGAGCAAACAGGCUUAGAUACCCUGGUAGUCCACCCCGUAAACGUUGGGAACUAGUUGUGGGGUCCAUUCCACGGAUUCCGUGACGCAGCUAACGCAUUAAGUUCCCCGCCUGGGGAGUACGGCCGCAAGGCUAAAACUCAAAGGAAUUGACGGGGACCCGCACAAGCGGCGGAGCAUGCGGAUUAAUUCGAUGCAACGCGAAGAACCUUACCAAGGCUUGACAUAUACGAGAACGCUGCAGAAAUGUAGAACUCUUUGGAC